rnacentral:lncRNA from 1 species
GGGAGAGAGGAAGAAGGGGUGAGAGGGAGAAACCUGCCGCCGCUCGCCGCCUCUUUGUCUGCUCCGGGACUUGGAACAAAAGGGGGAACUCUGAUGAACUCUCUUUCCUCCCCUCUCCCCCGGACGCCGGGGUAUCUCCCUCUCGCAACUUUGCCGCCCCGACUUUCUCUGCUGUCAGGCCGGGAAAAAGUGUCCGAACGCCUCGUGGACUGCAGCGGGGGAAAUGUCCCUUAAAAGUGCGACGAAGUGGGGAAGAAGGUGUAAUUACUAUUAUCAGCAUCUAGAAAGCAUCAUGAAUUUGCUGGAGUACUUCCUAGCACUGACCUCCUUCAUUCUGCGUUGUUCUUACUGGAUCUUUCCAUCAGCCAACAAUAUGGAAGUACCAAUACAAGGUCAAAUCAUUCCUGGAUUCAUCUGGAGUUGCUUAAAAGUUAAAUCAUUGGAAUUUUUGAUGAUACCUUUUCUAUAUGGAUUACAAUUUGAUCGCUGGGAAUUCUCCACCUUAAAGAAGUACCCUCAGGUGACUACAGAUGUGUUAACACCCAGCAUGUUCCGGUAGGAGACUUUCUGGAUGGGGAAGAUUUCCAGGUGUGAAUCAUGGCAAUACAGUGAAAGACAGUGAUUUACUGCUUUUGAGGGCGUGCAUGUAUAUGAUUAACGGAUGGAAGUGCAGGACUCCAAGAUUUACUUCCUUCCCUUUCCAGCAGAAUUACCUGAGACGAGUAAAAUCUACUGGUGGAGUCACUCCAUUAUUCUUAUCUGUGGAGAUCUAGAUCUUGAUUUGAAAGUUUCUGAGAAAAUCUUCAGCUCAGACUUGAGGGUCAACUUUACCAGCUGAAGGAUCUGCAUUUACUGCUCAACCACAUCUAAUUUGAUGUCCUCUGCAGAUUUAAAAUGUGUGCCUUCUUUUCCGUCACCAAGUCAUCCCUGGGUUACUACUGAACAUCCUUCUCAAUUCCCCCCGACCCAUGGAUGGCUGUUCUCCAUUGUCUGUUUCACCAGAUGUCCUCAAAACAAACAGACAGAAGAAGGAAGUGGCUAAUGGAGCUGUGGAGUCCAAGUGUGACUGCCAAGAGGAAUCCAGCAAAGCCAAAAAGCCCAAGCAUGUAGCCCUGCCCGAAGCACGCCACACGCAUGGAAAACCCAGAGGAAAUGAGUGAGGAUCAAUGGGAAGAAGAGAGCCAGCCAGGAAGUUGAAGAUUUGUCCAGGAGCAGAUAGCUGAAGAGAGAGAGAGAGAAGAGAGAACGGCUUACAGCUCAGUUCUGGAGACCAGAAGGCCAAAAUCAAAAGUAUGGGCAGGCUUGAUUUCUUUAGAAGACUCCAGCGGAGAACUGUGUCUCCUUGCUUCUGAUUCUACAUCUCCAUCCAUGGGCCACUGUUUCAGCAACCUCAGCCAGUGCAACACAACCUCAGCCAAGAAGAGUAUGCAGAGAAAGGAGUCCCCUACCUGCCACAAAACUGUUGUCUGAAAACUGUCUCAUAUUGUCUCAAGUUGUCAUUCAUUGUGAAUUAGACCUGUUUAACAUGUAAUCUGCAACAUGCUUCACUGUCUAAUUUUCCAGAGCCCCUCAUAUAAGGAACUGUAUUAUUGGUAUAAUCAUCAUGGUGAAGAAGUUGGUAUGUGGGGGAGAGAUGACAGAAACAGAGAGUAAGUCAGAGCUGGCUGCCUGACAGAUAAAAAGGAAAUGACCAAAAAAAAAAAAAAAGACACAGAAGAAUACUUUGUUGUCCACACAGAAAA